rnacentral:rRNA from 1 species
AGUCGAGCGAGUCUGCCUUGAAGAUCGGAGUGCUUGCACUCUGUGAAACAAGAUACAGGCUAGUGGCGGACGGGUGAGUAACACGUGGGUAACCUGCCAAGAGAUCGGGAUAACACCUGGAAACAGAUGCUAAUACCGGAUAACAACAGAUGAUGCCUAUCAACUGUUUAAAAGAUGGUUCUGCUAUCACUCUUGGGUGGACCUGCGGUGCAUUAGCUAGUUGGUAGGGUAACGGCCUACCAAGGCGAUGAUGCAUAGCCGAGUUGAGAGACUGAUCGGCCACAUUGGGACUGAGACACGGCCCAAACUCCUACGGGAGGCAGCAGUAGGGAAUCUUCCACAAUGGACGCAAGUCUGAUGGAGCAACGCCGCGUGAGUGAAGAAGGGUUUCGGCUCGUAAAGCUCUGUUGUUGGUGAAGAAGGACAGGGGUAGUAACUGACCUUUGUUUGACGGUAAUCAAUUAGAAAGUCACGGCUAACUACGUGCCAGCAGCCGCGGUAAUACGUAGGUGGCAAGCGUUGUCCGGAUUUAUUGGGCGUAAAGCGAGUGCAGGCGGCUCGAUAAGUCUGAUGUGAAAGCCUUCGGCUCAACCGGAGAAUUGCAUCAGAAACUGUCGAGCUUG